ensembl:lncRNA
CUCUACCUGAGGGGUCUCCAGGCAAAAGUCCCCUUGGCCCACUAUGCUUCAUUUCCAGAGGACUGGACCAUUCUAGUUCUAGUUCUGAAAAUGUGUGAUUCUAAGGCUUCGGUGUUCUCUAAAGUGUAAAGUUCCGAAGUCUGGGAAUCUGACUUUGGAAUCAAGAAUCUGAGUUCUUGAAGUCUUUCUGGUUCUUGAUUCCAAGGUUUAAAUCAACCAUAGAUCUGAGAUGACUUGAUCCAACUCAAAGGUCAUGGUUGGGGCCUGACUCCUUCCAGGUCACUGACAAACUCUCUGAUUUCCCAGUGCCAUAGGAGGUGCUUGGGAAAAGUAGAAAGAAAACUGAAGUAUUACCUCUGACCUCUGAACCUGCCUGACCAGUUUAGAGUGAUUAUGACUUAGAGGAUUUCACUCUCUGAAACUCACUUUGCUCUUUUCCCAGCUCAGGUCAGUUAUCUACUUUGUAGGGUUAUUAGGCAAACUGAGUAACAGGAAAAAAUUGUAUUUUUUAAGAUUGAAAGAGGAGAAAUCUAGGCCAAAAGUUAUGAAUAACUUAUAAGCAAGAGUCUUCAUUAAGGAAAGGAGUGUUUACAACUUGGUGAAAUGAUUAUGAUGCAAAAUUAUGGAGGGAAAGAAUAUUUAUUUGUAAUUGUUUGUAGGGUCAUAAUUUGGUAUGAUGUUCUACAGAGGUGUUAUAAGCAUUUUGAAUAGAUUCUGUCUUCAUUGGGUGGGAUGUUCCAGCAUCCACGGUCCUUGCUGAUUAGUGUGUCAGUAACACUCAGUAAUUAUAGGACAAACAACCAGGUCUCCAUAAUUCUUACAGCACACAUGCACACGCAACACACCCAAACACACACAACACAUGUAUACACACUUCACACACACACACACACACACACACACACACACACACACACACACACACAGGCUAGUUCCUCCUUGAGGACAGGGACCCUGUCUUUCUUGUUUCAAUAUCCCAGUCUGUGCCCCAGGCAGGGCCUGGCACCUGGUAGGUAUCCCACUGCUGCCCCCGGGUCCUUCUUCACUGGACCUCCAGACUGAUCUCGGCUCCCACCCUGUGUGCUCUUUGUUAGUCUCCACAUAGCUGUCUGAGUAUUUGCUUUAGAGCAGGAGUCAUGCCAGUCCCCUCCUCAUCACCCCCAGUGCCUUCUCAUUUCUACUUAAAAUAAGGUCACAACUCCCUGCCUUGGCUCUCAGGCCCCAUUCCUCUCUCUCACCUCCUACUGCAUCCCUCACCCACACCACCCCAGCCAGCAGGCCUCCUUCCUGCCUUGAUGAUGCCAAGGUGGUUCCCACCUCAGGUCUGCACCUUGACUAUCUCCCUGGACUCAUUUGCUUUUCCGACUAAGCUCAUCAUGCCUUGUUUCAUAACAUAUGCAGCGUGGCUACUCUUCUGAGCAGUUUUACUCGAUCACGUGAGCUAAAACAGGCAACCCCUAAUAGCACAUCUUCUUGUUUUAUUUCCUUUACACCACUUAUUAGAUCUAAAAUAAUGAUACUUAUUUCAUUUAACCUCUCUGCACCAACUAAAAAUGUUAGUGUCAUUAGCUAAAAGAUACUUAACAUGAGGAUGGAGGAAUAAAUGAGUAAACUGGAUGAAGAAUAAAUGAGUGAUAGGGCGAGAGGAUGGAUGGCGGGAAGGUGGGAGGAUGAAUGGGUGGAAGGGAAGAUGGCUGGGCGAAUGGUUGAGAGGAUGGUGGGCAGAGAGAUGGAGUGAGUGGGUCUAUUGAUGGAGGGGAGAAUGGAGAGAUGGGUGAAAAGAUGAGUGUAUAGGCAAAUGGAUGGAAGGCUGAGUGGGCGAAUGGGACAUGAGGAAAGAUUGGUAGUAGGAUGGAGGAACAAGUGGAUGGAAAGCAAGGUUAGUGAUAGACAAAAGGUGACUGGAUGGGAUGGUUUGUGAAAGGGUAGAUAGUUGGUGAACAAUUGCUAAGCACCAGUGAGUGGCAGGUGUUGGAGGGAUUUGCCAUUUUCCUUUGUGAAAUAGUGCGUCUGUUAUUAUAAAAGAGGUAGAGGGAAUAGGAUGAGUUUGGAAAAGUUUGAGAAACAGGGGAGGGCUUAUUAGGCAUAGGUAGAAGUCUGAAACAAGGAUGAAAGCUCAGGUGUUUGGAGAAAACCCCACAUCGAAGUAUAGUGCUGACCGGUAAGGCAGAGCUCUGCAGCUCGGCUACAGCCUCCUUCCCUGAUUUCCUACUUAUCCUCAGAGCACCUCUGCUUGAACCCUUCCAUCUCCAGGAGAGAAUGUGAGCUUCGAUGAGAACAAGUUCUAUAAACUUAUACGGAGAUGGAAAAGGCAAGAACUGCUCUGUACAUGUGGACAUGCUGUGGGCUGGGGACUUCUCCACAGGAAAGUCCAUCUGCCAAACUAUACUCAGAUCCUGUUACCCUGUGUUCAUUUUCCUGGAGUAAACAGCCAGGGAUGCGAUUGCUGGACCAUAUGGUAAGUAUAUAUUUAGUUUUUUAAAGAAAUAGCCAAACUGCUUUUAGAUUUGACUGUAUCAUUUUACAGUUCCAUUAACAGCACUAUGACAUACCUUAUUCUUGGCACACUCACUAAUAAUGAAGUUAGUUUUCAUUUUAGCUGUUCUAAAUCAACAUGUGAUUUAUUCUCAUUGUGUUCCUAAUUUGAGUUACAUUAAAGACCAG